rnacentral:rRNA from 1 species
GUAGGUGGCAAGCGUUGUCCGGAAUUAUGGGCGUAAAGCGCGCGCAGGCGGGUUCUUUAAGUCUGAUGUGAAAGCCCACGGGCUCAACCGUGGAGGGUCAUUGGAAACUGGAGAACUUGAGUACAGAAGAGGAAAGCGGAAUUCCACGUGUAGCGGUGAAAUGCGUAGAGAUGUGGAGGAACACCAGUGGCGAAGGCGGCUUUCUGGUCUGUAACUGACGCUGAGGCGCGAAAGCGUGGGGAGCAAACAGGAUUAGAUACCCUGGUAGUCCACGCCGUAAACGAUGAGUGCUAAGUGUUAGGGGGUUUCCGCCCCUUAGUGCUGCAGCUAACGCAUUAAGCACUCCGCCCGGGGAGUACGGCCGCAAGGCUG